rnacentral:rRNA from 1 species
CAAAUGAAUUGACGGGGGCCCGCACAAGCGGUGGAGCAUGUGGUUUAAUUCGAUGCAACGCGAAGAACCUUACCUGGUCUUGACAUCCACAGAACUUUCCAGAGAUGGAUUGGUGCCUUCGGGAACUGUGAGACAGGUGCUGCAUGGCUGUCGUCAGCUCGUGUUGUGAAAUGUUGGGUUAAGUCCCGCAACGAGCGCAACCCUUAUCCUUUGUUGCCAGCGGUCCGGCCGGGAACUCAAAGGAGACUGCCAGUGAUAAACUGGAGGAAGGUGGGGAUGACGUCAAGUCAUCAUGGCCCUUACGACCAGGGCUACACACGUGCUACAAUGGCGCAUACAAAGAGAAGCGACCUCGCGAGAGUAAGCGGACCUCAUAAAGUGCGUCGUAGUCCGGAUUGGAGUCUGCAACUCGACUCCAUGAAGUCGGAAUCGCUAGUAAUCGUGGAUCAGAAUGCCACGGUGAAUACGUUCCCGGGCCUUGUACACACCGCCCGUCACACCAUGGGAGUGGGUUGCAAAAGAAGUAGGUAGCUUAACCUUCGGGAGGGCGCUUACCACUUUGUGAUUCAUGACUGGGGUGAAGUCGUAACAAGGUAACCGUAGGGGAACCUGCGGUUGGAUCACCUCCUUACCUUAAAGAAGC